CCACGUUCUUCCACGACUAAAAAUCUGAGAGAGAACCACCAAUCUACUGCAGUUUUCUACCCUUUCACAAAGUUGAGAAGAAAUAGUUUGGAGAGAAGAAACCGAGAGUUGAGGGAAAAAAAAAGAGUGAGGCAGCGACGAUUGAGAAAGAAAAUAGACGAUGUUAGGAGCGUGACGGCUCCCGUUCAACCGAAUGCAGCGGCGGCGAGGCUGCUGAACGACGUGCUGGAGGAAGGCGGCGCCGGCUCUGUGCUGGCAGCAACGACCACGGCUGCACGGCGGCGUGAUCCAGCAAUAGCAUCAGCGAAACUUGCUUACGAACAGUGAUGGUGAUUGUUUUGAACUGCGAACUACCCCGAUUGGGCAGGAGAUCGACGACGCUGGUUGAGAGAGGGAUGAAGGGGAUAGACGGAGGCGGAGCUGUGCUUGUCAAGCUCACUGCCCGAUGAAAAGAACGGUGGCAGCGGCGGUGCCGAGUUUUGAAAGAGAUCGGAAUCUGUUUCGGAGACCGCGUGAGCAAGAGAGAGAUUGAGAGUUCUAUUUUGAGGUGAUUUCCGAAUGGUGGCAGCGACGAGGCGGUGCUGCUCAAGAGUCACGAAUGGCAGCAAUCGGGCACCGAGCAGCAGGGGCUCAUGGCGGAAUCACGAGCAUCGGCACAUAGUGACAGCACUGGCCAUGGCGGCAGCUAUCGGCUCGACGGAGAGACUGCGGCGCUGUAAAAUCAGAAAGAGGAGAUGAAGGGAGAAGCUAGACGGAGAGAGUAGACGACGGAGGAGAGAAACAAGUGAAAGGGGGAGGAAGAUUUGAGAUUGCAGGCGCUAACAAAUUGAGAGAUGGGAGUUCACGUAAGGUUGAGAUGUGACGAGCGCGAUGGGUGUUGAGCAGAGCUGGUGAAGAUUUGUGUUUGCUUUUAAAUGUUCCGAAUAUAUUAUGUCUUCAUACAUAAUAUUAUUCUUCUCUCGAAUGCUUCCGCUGAAUGUUGUUUCUUUUGAGAUCAUUUAUUGAUGAGAUAUUGUAUCCCUUUGAGUUGUCAAUUAUUGAGAUGAUACUCUGAUUUUAUU